CAAUAUGUUUAUAAAAACUUAUUAAUUAUAUGAACAAGAUGUUUUAAAUUAUUUUUGUGAGCACCAGAACGAUGAUUCAAAUUAUUUUAGAGCUCGCAUUAAACUCUUGAUUGUUAGAUAAAGUGUUUAGGGCCCCAAUAGGGGCGCAGAGCAGUCAACAAAAUAUAUACCUGUGGCCAUUGGUCAACUUGUGAUAAAUGCAAAUAUGACAUUUUACAGGAGAAGAGUUUGAAAAUUUGAUUUGUUGCCACAAAUCGGGUAAUGAAAAAUAAAUUAUUUUCCAUAAAAAUAUUUUUUUUUUUUUUUUAAAUAAAUUAUUUUUUUUUUAAACUACAGCAAUCAUAGUUUGACCAAAUGAAAUAUAACAAAACUUCAUACUCAUCUUCAAAAUGACUAAUUUUGCACUUAUCAUAAAUUGAACAAUGGCCGCAGAUAUAUUGGCUUCGUUUUGGUUAAAACAAAGUAGAUUAAAAGUAUAAACCAUAAAUAAGAAAAUCCAAAAAUAUUAGCCUCGUUUAAUUUGUUGUUCCAGAGAUAUUGGUAUUCAAAGACACAUUUUUAGAAUAAAAGUAUUGACAUGAUCUCUUUAAAUGUGAUUUUUUUAAUUUUUUUUUUAUACACUCUCACUCGAUAAUUGAGUGAAGAGUGAUUUAUUAUAUAUUGUUUGAAAACUAGUCAAAUAUACUUUUCAAUAACAAUAAAAAUAAUUUUGAUAAACCUUAUUAAAUUUUAAAAAUCAGCCUUUAAUUAGAAAUACUAUUACACUAAAAGUCAAUUUUGAUGAAUCUGGAAAAAAAAAAAACGUUUUAAACAUCUCCUUAACUUUGCAAAAAAUAAAGUUCAAUACGUCUUUAAUUAACUGCAGAAAAAAGAUAUGCAUAUUUGAAAAUGUCUCGUUAUACUGAAAAUACUAUUUUAAAAAUUAAAUAAAUGAUCAUUAGCUAGUAAAUUAGUGUGAUACUUAAAUCAUGUGAAAGAUUGUCAUUUGAAAUUGUAGAUGUGAGAAUGUCUAUGUACCAUAUUUUAGGUUAAUACCUCAUCCUGUUCAUUAAAUAUUGCCGACUGUAGCAAAAAAUGCUGAAAAUUGAAACCUAAAUAUCUCAAGAACCGUAAUUGGUUUGAAGUACCAGCUUUCAGGUUUUUCUAGUUUUCAGUACAACAGUACAUUAAAUAUUAGCACAUGAAGGAAAAAUUACUUAAAAUUCUCCUGUUCUCGUUAGAGCUUUGGAUGAAGAAGCAAGACUCGCAAGACCUCAAAGGAAGUCAUUGUGUUAAAUGUUAACGUUCAAUAAACUUAUCAGAUACAACUAUAAGUUUUUUGGUGCUUUCCCCUUUACCCCAUUUUUAAAAAAUCGAAUAAGUUCUCUGAAACUUCAUCUUAAAAUUACAUAAAAUUUUAGAUAUUAUAAAGACUUCAAAUAUAUUUAUUUUUUGAAAUUCAUAACACCUUUGUGCAAAUAUAGAGAAAACAGUUUUAACCACUAUUUUGUAUAGAACCGUUCCAUACAAAAUCGUCUCAUUUAAAGUAAACUUUUUUAAAUUUUGUUUAGAAAAAGAUGUUUUGUAUUUUUUAAAUCUUUCACACAUUAUGAGCAGUUGUGGCGAACCUCUUGAUUUUGAAUCAGAACUCUAACCAAGAGUUCUGAUUCAAAAUCAAGAGGUUCGAAAUUUGAAGCCAAAUCUAGCCCAAUAACAUGGAAGACGCUUGAAUUACCAAGUACAAGCCUUCUUCCAUGUUACCCAGCCCAAUAAUAUGGAAGGAGACUUGAACUAAAUGCUUCUCGCGGUGCUCUGUUAUAAGACCGAUAGGUCUUCGCGGAGUACCUUAAAAUUAUAUAUAUUUAUAUAGUAAUGCAUAAAAUUUUGAAUAAAUUUAUUUAACUGCCUGUGGGAAUUUUAUUACAAUUAAUAAAUAUUUUAUUUCGCCUAAAUGUUAUGAAAUGAGUUUUGGAAUAAAACAUUACUUUCCUGACGCAGUAGUUAUAGUUCUGGCGCUGCGACAGAACUAUAACUACUGCGUCACGGCUGCAUUUGAUAGCCUGAUUAUGAUUUUAAACAAGGAUGUAAAGGAUCUCUAUAUUUAAUAGCCGAACUUAAAAGUAUUAGUAUAAUUGUCGAACUUAAAAGUAGUAGUAGUAGUAGUAGUAGUAGUAGUAGUAGUAGUAGUAGAAGUAGUAGUAGUAGUAGUAGUAGUAGUAGUAGUAGUAGUAGUAGUAGUAGUAGUAGUAGUAGUAGUAGUACCUCUUCGUGUUUGAUACGGAACCCUUUGCAGCCAUUGCAACCGACAUAUUGAAGAGAAAGAGUCGCAAUACUUUUAUUAUAAGAAAACGUGAGCGAAUAUGUGUGGAAAUAUAUAACUUAUAUAAACUUGAAACUAUGUAAUGUAAAAACAUGUGUUCAAUUUUACAGAUCUACUUUCAUUUGAAAAUUGUAUUGCGGUAACAUUUUCAAUCUAUAGCAUUUAUUACCGUUUCAUAAAGACUUUUAUUUAUUAUAGUUUUAAAAUUUUCUAAAGAUAACAUGCUUGCAUGCCUGAGUGGGUAGAGCGCUUCUGAACUAGCCGUGGUAUAAAUCCUACUAUAGGUUACUUUCUUUUUAUUCUUUUUCGAUUUUUUUAAAAAUUCAAAAUAAAACAUUUAUGAAGUUUUAUAGAUAUUACAUACAUAACAUAUGUUAAGAUAUUAAACACUAUAACACAGGAAAGGAUUUUUAAAAAAGCUAUUAAUUAAAAAAAAAAUCAUAACACCGGGAGAUAUUUAUAGUGUGUAUGUAUUAUGAUUGAGACAUAUUAUUAUAUUAACAUGGGCACAGAUAAUUAGUCCUAAUAAGCUACAGAUGGUCUGAAAAAAGUUAUGUUAUGAAACUUAAUAAAGACAGAGUUAAUAAGACAGUUACUCUAGAAAGUGCUAUUGUGGAGGUACAAAAAAAAAAAAGAAAAAAAAAAAAGAAAAGCCCCUAGCAAAAAAAAAAAAAUUUUAACAAUUAAAAACACUUUUUAUCUAACUAACUAGCUAACAAUAUUUGUUUUUUUACUCUGAAUAUAUAUGUCCAUAUUGAAAACAUAUUGUGUUAAGGGGCGAAUUUAAACCCAUGCAAAACGGCACCGAUGACAGCCCAUUAAAUCACAGAUCUUUCGAAUUUAUGCAUGUAAUUAAAAAACAAACCAUUUUAUAAACUCUUAUAUCCAAUCAAUACUUUUCGUUCUCUUGGUUUUCUAAUAAGCAUGGCUUUAUUUCAUAGGAAUAAAGUUGCGCCUAUAUAUAAACAAUAUAUGUAAACACAUAUUUUAUAUGUAAAUGUAAAAUAUUCACUCAUAUAACGUUUUAUACAAAAUCGCGUUUAAUAUAAGAAAACUUUUUUAAUAACUACAAAUGUACUUUGCUCAAGCUGUUUUGUUUUGAUUUUUUGUAUUAAUGUUGUUGUAUUUAAAAAAAUUAAAAAAAAAGAUUAAAAAAGCACGAAACAUAUUGUCUCAUCCAAGUAAAAAAUUUGAAACUUCAAUUUUAGAUUUGCCCCUCUCUCUUGAUAACUUUUGAUUGCUAAAACUACGUCAUCUUCUUCUUUGCACGGUCGUUUAGAUAUAUGGAAAAAAGCGGGAAUCAUCAUUAGAUUCAGAAUAUAAUUCUGUCGGUUGCUAUUUCAACAUAUAAUUUAAGAAAGCUGGAUAACUUUGCUUUAGAGUGUGUUCGGUAUGCGAUAUCGAGUGAAGCUGCUGCAGCUCUUGGUAAUGGACUUUUAAAAGAUCUUGGAGUUAUUACUAAAACUGAUAAAACUGAUGUUUUAGAUGAAAGUAAAAUGGAUCAAUCUAAAAAAAGGGUUUGCCUUCAGUCUGUUGCUGAACACAAUAUCAUAGUGCAAAAUCUUUUAUGUAUUGGAUGUGACAGUAAGGAUGAUAAAGGUAGCCUGGUUUAUAGAAGUAUGUUGCCAGAUAGUAUUAGCAAAAAAAAAAAAUUAAUAGAAAUGGUUUAUCAUCUAAGUUUUACAGUAGAAUCGGGAGAAAUGAAAGGUAGAUAUCUGACACAAAAAAGAUAUUUUAAAUGCCACAAGAGAAAAUUUAGCGCUGUCUGAUUUUGAAGUGUUAAAACAAUACAACAGUGUUGAUUCUUUUUUAGGAAUUGUUUUCUAAAAUACAAAUGUCAACACUGGAUAUAAAACUGGCCUUUGUGCCAGUCUUGAAAGAAAAUUUGGCAGAACAAUUCAUAAAAUUGGCUGUGCACUUCAUAGCAACGAGUUACCUUUGCGCCAUAUUAUAGAACAGCUAGAUGGCGGUACAAACACUCCGCAAAGAUUUUUUGGUGAAAUUGGAAAAGGUGCAGCACAAGACCUUCAUCAUAAACCCAUUACCAAAUUCGAACCUGUUUUAACUUCUUUAGUUAUGCCAGAAAAGAGUGUGAUCAAUGACUUAAGUUCUGAUCAAAGGUUAUUGCUAGAAUAAGUGUGGUAUAAGUUCAGGUGAGCAUAUUUUAAAAAUAUAUAACAUAAAAAUUAAUCUACUUAAUGUAUUUAAUUACAGACGUUUACUCCUAUUAUAAUUUAUUGUUAAAAAAGAACAUUUAAAUCUAUUUAAAUUUAAGUGUUGUAAAUCUAGUUUACGCUCAUUAUAAAAUUGAUCCAGUUAAUCAUGCUAGGUGGCUGACAUUAGCAAUACGUAUUUUAGUUUUGUAUUCAAGAGCAGAACAACCUACUCCUGUCCUUAAAGAGAUAGAAAUUACAUACAGACAGAGUAUGGCCCCACAUGGUUUGCUAUUAAGAAAUCAAAGAACUUUACUGAAAGGUCAAAAAUUUUAUACACAACAUUAAAAAUUUAAAAAAAUUUAAGCCAAACUAUACCAGACAUUAUACUACCUGUUGUUUUAAGAAAUGCGUAUUGUCUUCUCCCAGAAAACUUUCUUUUAUCCUUUUUUGUUGAUGAUUUGAAAGAAAUACGAAACAGAGUAGUUAGGCUGAUUUUAAAAUGUCGAGAUAAUCCUCCGGCUGCCCCAGUUGAUAGAAUAUAUGGUGGUAUCAGAAUUAAAAAAAUCCCAAAUAUUGAAAAUCUUGAAAUUGAAUGUGACACAUGGGCAGAUCUGCUUUCUGAUGAUAAACUGAUCUAUGAACCUCCUGCUACUAAAAACCUGACUUAUCAGGAACUACUCAAUACAAUUGAAUGUAAACUAGAUCCUUGUGAGCUUGGUUGGGACUUUCCGUUACAUAGUCAGUCUGUUAAGCGUGCUGUAAAGCAUGUUUCUGAGGUUUUAAAAAAAGUCUAUAGUCUUUACAGAAUAGACAUGGUUUAGCAGUAGGGAAGCAAAAAAGCCGAAUAUUAAGAAAAUAGUUUUAUUUGAAAAAAGAUUACGUUAUAUAGUA